rnacentral:sRNA from 1 species
UGGAGUGGUUCUGGUCAGAGGGCUCUAAGCUGGUGCAGCCUUGUGGUUGGGCUGGUGUCCUGGAGGCUGGCCCUGGCCAUGCCCAGAGGGUUGUGCCAGGGCCGUGGAGAGCCAGUAUUCACAGCCCUCUACCUAGUAAGCCACCUGGGGGAUCCCAUCUCACUGCCAAGAGCAGCACCCUUGGGCCUCUCAGAGUGGGCUUCGCCCUAGCCAGGUGCCCCUCCCUGAUAUCUGCCAGACAAAGGGUGCUGGGCCACUUGCUGAGAAAGGGAGCCGGGAGAGCCGCUGGUCCUCGGCCGCCUGAGGGGCUUGGCCAGAUUCUGCCAGGCAGGGUGGGCCCAGCUUGCAUGCUCCCUCCCCGCAGGGCCUGCAGCUUGUCCCCUUCCCUUCAAAAUUCCGGCUCUGCUGGGCCCUUCCUGCUCCUCCCCACCUCUUCCUGCCUGGCUCCCUAGGGAGGCCCCUGCUUCCGUCCACUGGGAAGCAGCCCAGUAGCCCAAGUGUGGGGGUGGAGGCAGUGGCGGAGGGUCCCCGACCCUCAGCAGCUGGCCUCAGAUCUUCCAUGCCGGUGGCAGCCAGGGGCAUUAGGGUGGGGGAAGAGCUCAGGGUUUAGGACGAGGAAUCCACAGACAGAUGAGGGUCCCGCCUGGAGGACCCACGGGGACGGGGCCAGGCCUUCCCACGAGGGAGCUGGAGGCUCUGGGGCCGCACCUUUGACUCAGCAGCGGGGUGCUGCCAGCCCCAUCAGGGCCCAAUUGGUGGGGAUCGGGGCGUGUCAGUGCGAGGCAGGUGUGAGAGGGAGAGCACAUGUGUUGAGGAAGCAGGUGCACUGGAGAGGCAGCCGAGAAGGUGAGCUCCCUGGGUAAGGACUGGCACAAGUUCUGCCUCAAGUGCGAGCGCUGCAGCAAGACGCUGACGCCCGGGGGCCACGCCGAGCAUGACGGGAAGCCGUUCUGCCACAAGCCGUGCUACGCCACCCUGUUCGGACCCAAAGGCGUGAACAUCGGGGGCGCGGGCUCCUACAUCUACGAGAAGCCCCUGGCGGAGGGGCCGCAGGUCACCGGCCCCAUCGAGGUCCCCGCGGCCCGAGCAGAGGAGCGGAAGGCCAGCGGCCCCCCGAAGGGGCCCAGCAGAGCUUCCAGUGUCACAACUUUCACCGGGGAGCCCAACACGUGCCCGCGCUGCAGCAAGAAGGUGUACUUCGCUGAGAAGGUGACGUCUCUGGGCAAGGAUUGGCACCGGCCCUGCCUGCGCUGCGAGCGCUGCGGGAAGACACUGACCCCCGGCGGGCACGCGGAGCACGAUGGCCAGCCCUACUGCCACAAGCCCUGCUAUGGAAUCCUCUUCGGACCCAAGGGAGUGAACACCGGUGCGGUGGGCAGCUACAUCUAUGACCGGGAUCCCGAAGGCAAGGUCCAGCCCUAGGCCACAGCGGCUGUCAUGAUGUGGGCUCACCUGCGCCCCAGACCCUGCAGGGGCCCCCCUGCUUGGCUCUGCUGGGAGAGUGCUCAGCCGCCCAGUCCUGCCUGCAAGCCCAGGGCGAGUAUUGGAGGAGGGGCAGCCACGGGCAGAGCGCCAUGCCCAUCCCUGAGUCUCUAGUGUGUCUGCCCCCUCUGGCGUCCUCUGGGCGUCCCAUGACCCCUUCUGUGUCUGCGUGUCCGAAUCCCCGUGUGACCCUGUCCCAGCGUUUUCCUGCCGGCCCUGCGCAUCCCUGCGUGUCCCUGUGUGUCCCUGUGGCGCUGUCCGCUCUCCCUCUCCUGCUGCCCACCCACCUGCCAGUGUUAUUUAUGCUGCCUUCAUGGGUGAUGGCCACGCCCCCACCAUGUCCCUGGCAGAGGACUUCCCUCCGGGAUCCCCUGCCUGGUGCCCACACGUCCUCGCAAGCGCUCGCCACCCUCACGUGGCCCACCUGCUGU